AUACAUGCUGAAGGUUACUAGAUGCUUACAGGAAUAAAAGCGUAAACUCAGCAUGCAUUAGCAGCCCAGAGGUGCAGAUUUACACUGUCAGUUUACUGUUUUCUGGUAAAUACAAACCCCGUUUCUCAGGAAUAUUUUUAGAUUGCUAAUGAUUUACUGUUCUAGUAUUAUUCUGAAAUUCUUAAGUCUGGUGUAUAUCAAUAAUUAUUUAUUUAAAAACUAGUGUGACUAAUGCAGGCAGUGUGGGGAUGCUCCAUGACCCUUCCCUGUCAGGGAACUCCAGCACUGUUACUGUUCAUGGGUACCAUGUGCUGGGCAUCCCUGCUCUUUGCCACACUGCACCACACUGAGCUGUGACUGUAGACGUCUUAGUCAGCCUUCUUACCCAUCUGUGUUCAUCAAAAUGAGCCACUUGCCAAGUCUACAGAGGUUGUGAGAAUUUUUGGAUUUAUAUAUUUCAGUAAUGUCACCAGGUUCAGUAGUGAGACAUACAAGAGCAUUGUAAAGUCACUUCCUAUGAAAUAGUAAUAACAAAAUAACUAAAUGAAAUAACACUGUAUCCUGGAUUUAUUUGGCAUCCAUCCUUCAAGUUUUUUGGUACUUUUAAUUUCUUUUAUUUUAUGGAGGUUCUGCCUACAUUUAUUUAUAUAUGUCGACCAUGUAAGUGCCUGGUGCCUAUGAAAGUCGAAAGAGCAUAUUGGGUCUCCUAGAACUGAACUACUAGAUGCAUGUGAACCACCAUCAGGUGCUGGGAACUGAAACCAGGUUCUCAGCAGUAGCACUGCAUUCUCUCAACUGCUGGGCCCUCACUCCAGGAGCUCAUCUGAAAAUCAGAGCGAAACCUUACUUUAUUAUAUAGCAGAAUAUCUAGGAUAUAUUUUUUCCACAAUUUAAGAGCUUUUAAUAUUCUUCCCAAAUCAUAUUCUCUCUCUCUCUCUCUCUCUCUCUCUCUCUCUCUCACACACACACACACACACACACACACACACAAACACACACACACAUACACACAAACACACACACACACACAAACACACCACAGUUUUAUUUAAAUAUUAAAUUAGAAUUACAUAUUAACAAAGGUUUUGCUCCUUAUCCUUAAAGACUUAUAAAUGAAAUUUUUUUUUCUCUCAGGUUUUCUGAGAAAAAUGUGGCAGAGACUAAGGAUAGAGACAUAUCAUAUUAUUACUCUGGCAACUAAGAUGGGAUAUCAAAUAUGGAAAUAUGUAAAUUCCAUAAACGUAUCAAAAAUGUAGUUUAAAGUCUGGUGUCCAAGAAAAGUCAGAGAUUGAUAGGAACAAAGUGCCUGCAUGUUAGACAUGCAUGGAAGGUGUCACACAUUUACUGGAAUUCCGUGGUGACUUCAGUACCUACUCCUCUGACACCAUUCAUUCUAUAGGCAUGUAUGAGAUGUGAUAGCAGGAAGGGCUGGCUCUACCUCCAAACUAUGUGGAAAUUGAUGUGAAUCAUCAGGUGUCCUUUGUAGUCCUACCUUCAUAACUCAGACAUUUAUACAACAGAGUUUCUGAGAAUCCCCACGGAAAUAAUUUAUUUGACUGAGUUUCCAGAUGUUCUUAAGCACCAUCAAACAAUUCACCUCCAUUAUGCGCUCUCCAAGAUUGACAAGUGCAGGGAUGCUAACAGCCCAUGCAGCAGUACUUCUCCAUAGAACGGGUCUGGAUACAGACUAAAAUUCUUUAAUAGUCAGUGAUUUUAUAAUAAUACAAGGAGAUUUCGAACACAAUUAUAAUGUUAGGCACUAAAGUACGUUCUCAGAAAACCCUCUAGUGUGCCUGUGGGAUCGCCUUAUGGUCCUCUCACAAUCCUGUUUAGAAAGUUGUUUGCUUCCCACAUUGAUGGCCCUUGCUGUGAGUAACGAGGUCAUGUUCUGAGUGAUAGGACACAUGUGAAAACGUUCAGCACCACCUCACUUGCAGUUGCAGGAUAAAUCCAUGAAAGCACUGGGCCCAAGUAUAAACAAAUUCUUGCAUAGCAUUCAGAAACUUCUAUAGACUGCCUUUGUUUCUACAGGCUACAAAUAGAAUAUGGGUAGGUUCCUGUAUUUCAAGCAUACUUCCAUGGGAAUGAUUUAGUUUUCUGUGUGGUAGAUGCCUUCUAAAAAGAGUUCAAACAUGUUUUCCAAAAUAACAAAAAACUAUUAAAUCUUUACAGAUGCUUUUCCUCAAACUUUAGCAAAGGAGUUUCAGCUAUGUGUUCUGAGUUAUUUAAGUUUCCCAUUAAAAAUUAUGUAAGCUGUUGUAUUUCAGGUUACUAGUGAAUGCUAAAAGGCUACACUCUGAAGUAAGACUGUGGUAAGGUAUUACUAAAGACCUUGUAGUCAGAGGACAGAUCUCUUGUUCCCCACUGUGUGACAACUACCUGAUGUGCCAGUUUCUAGGCCUUCCUCUGUCUCUCUGUCUCUGUCUCUGUCUCUGUAGGCUUUCUUAAAUCAUACUCACGUCAUUCCACAUCUGGAUGUACAUGUGUUUUGGGACUUUAAGCUUAGGUGAGGCCACUUGUGUAGCAGUCUACCCACUGAUCAUCUCCUAACCCUCUAACUCUUCUUUGUGUAUAUAAUCAGUGUUAGAUGUAAUUAAAAACAAAAAAUACCAAAACAACAAAAC
rnacentral:lncRNA from 1 species